rnacentral:lncRNA from 1 species
AUUGCUGCAACCUCUGCAUCAAUCACGUCUGCACUGCACACCCCACCCCAGGAGGUACGAGCAGGCAACAAAAAAUGAUGAUCCAGUGGAGUCCCGAAGAACUGUCCCUGUUCCCGUUGUCCCGUCAGUCUCGAACGAUCCGUUUCCUUCGGAUUAAUUGGGCCUGGGGGCAGUAAACUGCACGACCGCGAUUGCCAGCUGACCAUCCCGAUUGAUGCGGUGCAAAAUUUUAAGAAUGGGUCUAAACACGGUGGCCAGUCAGUGGUGAACAAGUAGUAGGACGAGGACGACCGUUUAUCCCGGCGGCCUGAUCGAAAACUCUACGUUCCAUUUCUACUCUUGAAUCUUGAUUGAUUGGUUCCAGGUCUAUCUUCCAACACUAAUCAAAAUCGAAGCUGUGUCAGACGAGGAAUACGAGACCAAAAAGAAGCACCACCAUACUACUGCAGUGACAGUCUAUACAGCUGAGAUCCGCAUCAAGCCGCCGCGCCGGCCAUGAAGGACACGACGCCGGCUGACCCCGAGGGCUGCAAGCGAUGGGCCCCGGCAACCAACGCCGUGCUCGUUGCCUUCCUGCUN